UGCCUCGAUUGCUGGAUGCUAGCCGCCAGGGCAUGCUGAUCUGCUCGAUACCUCAAUCUCCCCUCAAAAAAGCUGAUCUGCUUGAUCGAAACCGAAGGGCGGUGUUAGUUCUGCUCGAUCGAUUGCAUCUAGAAUCCAUGGGCGGGCGACACGGCGCAUGCGCAUCCUCUAGAUUUCUAGAUCUGGCGACGCCGCGACGGGGACACGGCGAAAGGGAUCAUUAGAGAGAUAGAUUCUUGCAUGUGCCUCCUCGAUUAAAGAUCACAGUAUAGCAGUUCAACCGGAUAGGACACGAGACUAGAUGAGUAAGACGGUCCGUCUAAUUGCCAAACAUUGACACAUAAUCUUCAUUGAUAUCUGCUGCCGUAUCACUUUAAUUUUAUUUUAUUCAUAUUCUGUAUGUCGUGUUUCAGUACUACAAUUUUUUUAUGUCAGACAAUAUAUCACAUCCUUUAUAAUUGCUCGAUAGUUU